AGGUCGUUCUGGAUUUUGGUGAGAUGGCGGGGUACAUGUCGUUGAAAGAAGAGAAAGCAAAACAAUUGCAACAACAAAUGAAAGAAGGUAAAGACCUCGAAUUCUCAAGCAUUCAUCUGAUGUUUUCGCUGUUACUGCAUCUCUUCUCCUAGGAAUAUGCAGCAUCUCUCAUACAACUUUUAAGGUUCAUUUUGUACAAUCGGAAAAGUGGGCCUUUUUGGAGAGACAUAUGAGAAACUAGGGUGUUUAAAUCAUCAUAGUUGUUAUUUUAACACAGUCAGACUACUUUAUGGUAUAUUUCUUUUAUUAUAUUGUAUUAAAUCAUCAUAUCUGUAUAUAUGUAUAUUCAUUUUGCUUUGGAUAUUCUUGUAUGCACUUAGUACUUACUACUAUGGUUGUAAUGUUUGAAACUCUGGAGUUGGGGAUUCCGAUUCCAAUUACGUUGUUUUCUACUAGAACUGAUAGAAAGUAUAAUGGACAAGUUUCAAAGUGGUUUAUCAAAAGCAACAAUUCGUACUAACUCUUUAUUUAUUUUUUUGUCUAGAUACUCACGGGUUGGCCUGGUUGUAAGUUGUAACCGAACCCCGCGGAGCGGGGUAUCCCAGCUAGUAAAUAAUAUAGUAGUUUUUUUAAGACUUUGAUGAAAAUAUAUUAAGUUUUUAUAAGGUUUUCCCUUUCUGAUUUUUUUACAACACGGAUAUUUCUUUUUCUUUUUGUUUCUUUUUUUUUUCUUUUUUAUUCAAUAUAUUAAAAAUAAUAAAUAAUUUUAUUUAUUUCUUAAAUACUAACUUGGUUAAGUUUUAUCAUUUUUCAUAUAGCAAUUUGUAUAUUGAAAAUAUUAUUCGUUUAAAAUAAUAUAGGCUUUUAUAUUUUUAAGUCAUUUAAAUAAUCGACUACCAAAGGGCCUUUAGCCUAGCGGUAAGAAGUGAUUUUUUCAUUUGAGAGGUCAUGAGUUCAAAUCUCGCUUGAGACAUAAGUGGUGAUAGUUAGAAGUAGAUUAGUUUGUCGUUUCAAAAAAUAAAUAAAUAAUAACCGACUCAUUUAUUUAAAGUCUAAACGUGGAUUCUUUGAUAUUUUGUUUUUUAUUUAAUUAACUAUUUUAUACAAAUAAACGUGUAUAAUUAAAUUCCAUUAUACAUUUACUUGUUUGAGGACAUUGCAGUGUAGCGGAUCGGGAAUACGUGACGUA